CUGGCGGCACGCCUAACACAUGCAAGUCGAACGCAGUAGCAAUACUGAGUGGCAAACGGGUGAGUAUAAUGUGGGAAUCUGCCUUUUGGUUUGGAAUAACACGGGGAAACUUGUGCUAAUACCGGAUAAGCCCUUACGGGGAAAGUUUUAACGCCGAAAGAUGAGCCUGCACUUGAUUAGCUAGUUGGUAAGGUAAAAGCUUACCAAGGCAACGAUCAAUAGCUGUUCUUAGAGGAAGACCAGCCACAUUGGGACUGAGACACGGCCCAGACUCCUACGGGAGGCAGCAGUGGGGAAUCUUGCACAAUGGGGGAAACCCUGAUGCAGCGAUGCCGCGUGAGUGAAGAAGGCCCUUGGGUUGUAAAACUCUUUCGUCGGGGAAGAAAAUGACUGUACCCGAAUAAGAAGGUCCGGCUAACUUCGUGCCAGCAGCCGCGGUAAUACGAAGGGACCUAGCGUAGUUCGGAAUUACUGGGCUUAAAGAGCUCGUAGGUGGUUAAAAAAGUUGAUGGUGAAAUCCCAAGGCUCAACCUUGGAACUGCCAUCAAAACUUUUUAGCUAGAGUGUGAUAGAGGUAAGUGGAAUUUCUAGUGUAGAGGUGAAAUUCGUAGAUAUUAGAAAGAACACCAAAAGCGAAGGCAACUUACUGGGUCACUACUGACACUGAGGAGCGAAAGCAUGGGUAGCGAAGAGGAUUAGAUACCCUCGUAGUCCAUGCCGUAAACGAUGUGUGCUAGACGUUGGAAAUAUAUUUUUCAGUGUCGCAGCGAAAGCAUUAAGCACACCGCCUGGGGAGUACG
rnacentral:rRNA from 1 species